UACGUAGGGUGCAAGCGUUAAUCGGAAUUACUGGGCGUAAAGCGUGCGCAGGCGGUUUUGUAAGACCGAUGUGAAAUCCCCGGGCUUAACCUGGGAACUGCAUUGGUGACUGCAAGGCUUGAGUGUGUCAGAGGGAGGUGGAAUUCCGCGUGUAGCAGUGAAAUGCGUAGAUAUGCGGAGGAACACCGAUGGCGAAGGCAGCCUCCUGGGAUAACACUGACGCUUAUGCACGAAAGCGUGGGGAGCAAACAGG
rnacentral:rRNA from 1 species